rnacentral:sRNA from 1 species
AGCAGCCGCGGUAAUUCCAGCUCCAAUAGCGUAUAUUAAAGUUGUUGCAGUUAAAAAGCUCGUAGUUGAAUUUCGGGAUCAGUAUGUUGGUCGUGCUUCGGUACGUACUGUCAUUACUGGUUUUCUACCUUCUGAAGAACCAUGAUGUCAUUAAUUUGGUGUCAUGGGGAAUCAGGACUGUUACUUUGAAAAAAUUAGAGUGUUUAAAGCAGGCCCGCGCUUGAAUACAUUAGCAUGGAAUAAUGAAAUAGGACGUUUGAUUCUAUUUUGUUGGUUUCUAGGAUCGACGUAAUGAUUAAUAGGGAUAGUUGGGGGCAUUAGUAUUCAAUUGUCAGAGGUGAAAUUCUUGGAUUUAUUGAAGGCUAACUACUGCGAAAGCAUUUGCCAAGGAUGUUUUCAUUAAUCAAGAACGAAAGUUAGGGGAUCGAAGACGAUCAGAUACCGUCGUAGUCUUAACCAUAAACUAUGCCGACUAGGGAUCGGAUGAUGUUAUUUUUAAUGACUCAUUCGGCGUCCG